AUGGAAUUUUGCGGAAUUCUCAAACACUCGGACAUGAUUGAUCAUUUCAUAAUCACAAAGACAUCAUAUUCGUACCCAGAAAUUGACCCUUCUUUUGUGAAAAUAUAUGGAGAUGAAAUUUCCAAAUGUUGGACUAUCAUGAACAACCAAGGUGUCCACCAUGAACUGAUCUUUAACCAACAGGAAUUACAUCCUCUCAUUAUUAGCGGUUGA